GAUGAACGCUGGCGGCGCGCCUAAUACAUGCAAGUCGAGCGAACAGACGAGGAGCUUGCUCCUCUGACGUUAGCGGCGGACGGGUGAGUAACACGUGGAUAACCUACCUAUAAGACUGGGAUAACUUCGGGAAACCGGAGCUAAUACCGGAUAACAUGUUGAACCGCAUGGUUCAACAGUGAAAGACGGUCUUGCUGUCACUUAUAGAUGGAUCCGCGCCGCAUUAGCUAGUUGGUAAGGUAACGGCUUACCAAGGCAACGAUGCGUAGCCGACCUGAGAGGGUGAUCGGCCACACUGGAACUGAGACACGGUCCAGACUCCUACGGGAGGCAGCAGUAGGGAAUCUUCCGCAAUGGGCGAAAUCCUGACGGAGCAACGCCGCGUGAGUGAAGAAGGUCUUCGGAUCGUAAAACUCUGUUAUUAGGGAAGAACAAAUGUGUAAGUAACUAUGCACGUCUUGACGGUACCUAAUCAGAAAGCCACGGCUAACUACGUG
rnacentral:rRNA from 1 species